rnacentral:lncRNA from 1 species
UCUUUCAGGUCUCCAACAAAGGUGAGUGGAAGAUUAAACAUGAUUUUCACCGCCUUUCUGUUUCUGCUCAUAUGUCAACACAUGGAUACAAAUAGGCAUUUCUCUCUCUGUAUUCCAGGGGUCCCCUACCAAUAACGUGUCCCCGACCUCCACCCCCGCCAAAUCUGCAGCCGCCGUGCCCACCAUAGCGCCGCCACCUGAAGAAGCCACCGAUUCUCUCUUAGAUCUGGACCCUCUCUCCUCCUCUGGUCCGUCAGUAGGAGCCUCAGCAGCUCCUACAUCCUGGGGAGGUAAUGUCCCACAUCAAAACGUGAUACAUAGCUUGAUUAUUAAUGAAAACGUAGUUACAUUAUCUAAUUAACAGUCAUGUAAUUGCAUUUUUGCUCUUCUGGGGAUGCUGCCACAGACCUCCUUGGAUCAGGUGAGUGCUAUCCCACAGUGCUUCUGGUAUUAACCUCUCUAGUGUGUUAACAGUAUGUGUCAGUUCCUCUAGAUCGCCCACUGUGUUUCACAGUGUUGCUCUAGUCUAAGGAAGCAGUCUCUUUCUCUUCCUUUCUUUCUCUCUUUCUCCUUUCUUUCCCUCCCCCGCAUUUCCUUAUUGGUUUUGGUUCAUACGGGGACUUUAUGUUUUUGGUUGCUUUGGUUCUAAUGGGAUGGUUGUUUUUUUGAAAUUGGAUUGAUUUGGUACCUUCGUUUCUUUUAAAUGGGAUUUUUUUUGGUUGCUUUGGAUCCUAUGGGGUAUUUUGGGUUGAUUCAUGGGGUUGUUUUGGUACCUUGUUUUGGGGUUGGUUGGUACACCUUUUGGGUACCUGCAGAAAUGGGCGAGUCCAUGCUUCCUGACUCCACCCUAGCUGUAGAACCCGUCCCCUCUGCCGCUGGUGUAACGUCCACCCCUGCAGCUGCGGAGCCAGGAGUCUCUCUGGCUCCUCCCCCUAGUGCGGCCGCCGCCCCCACCCCCGGCGCGACGAAUAUGGAUCUGCUGGGAGAUGCAUUUUCGACCCCUGUUCCCACAUCUGAUGCCUCUGCUGAGGGCGGAGCUCCGGCCUCCACGCCAACCCCAGCUGCCGACGUUGCUGCCGACCCCUUUGCCCCCUCUGGUGGUAGCUCAGAUGCAGUAGGCCCAGGGCUGGACCUGUUUGCCAUGAUGCCUAUGGAGAACAACUGCUUUAACUCAGUGGCGCCCCCUUCUGCCCCCUCAUCCAUCAUCACAGCACCUAUCCCUCCACCACCCCCAUCGAUAGACCUCUUGAGUGGUAAAUGUUUAUGCACGUGUGUGUGGUACUUCUUAACCUUUGCUUUUGUCCCCUUUCGUCCCUGUCCUCUACUCUGCAUCCAUGUCCUCUCCUCUUCUGCGUUUUUUCAGUCGACUGCAUUUUUCCUGGGUGUCCUUUUCUCUUUGUGA